rnacentral:misc_RNA from 1 species
GAUGAAGAACGUAGCGAAAUGCGAUAAGUAAUGUGAAUUGCAGAAUUCAGUGAAUCAUCGAAUCUUUGAACGCACCUUGCGCUCCUUGGUAUUCCGAGGAGCAUGCCUGUUUGAGUGUCAUGAAAUUCUCAACCUUUUCAGCUUUCUUUGUUGAUCAGGCUUGGAUGUGGGAGUAUGCGGGCUUCUCAGAAGUCGGCUCUCCUGAAAUGCAUUAGCGGGACCUUUGUUGCCUGGCUUUGGUGUGAUACUUAUCUACGCCAUUGUAGUCAAGCAGCUUAAAAUGAGGUUUCAGCUUCUAACCGUCUCCCCUGAGACAACUUUUUGACAAUUUGACCUCAAAUCAGGUAGGACUACCCGCUGAACUUAAGCAUAUCAAUAAGCGGAGGA